GUGGGGAAUAUUGGACAAUGGGCGAAAGCCUGAUCCAGCCAUGCAGCGUGUGUGAAGAAGGUCUUCGGAUUGUAAAGCACUUUAAGUUGGGAGGAAGGGCAUUAACCUAAUACGUUAGUGUUUUGACGUUACCGACAGAAUAAGCACCGGCUAACUUCGUGCCAGCAGCCGCGGUAAUACGAAGGGUGCAAGCGUUAAUCGGAAUUACUGGGCGUAAAGCGCGCGUAGGUGGUUCGUUAAGUUGGAUGUGAAAGCCCCGGGCUCAACCUGGGAACUGCAUCCAAAACUGGCGAGCUAGAGUACGGUAGAGGGUGGUGGAAUUUCCUGUGUAGCGGUGAAAUGCGUAGAUAUAGGAAGGAACACCAGUGGCGAAGGCGACCACCUGGACUGAUACUGACACUGAGGUGCGAAAGCGUGGGGAGCAAACAGGAUUAGAUACCCUAGUAGUCC
rnacentral:rRNA from 1 species